GCCAGUGUGGGAUAGUGGUUUGAGCAUUGGACUAGGUCUCUAGAGACAAGGGUUCAAAUCCCUGCUCGGCCA